rnacentral:rRNA from 1 species
UGAACGCUAGCGGCAGGCUUAACACAUGCAAGUCGAGGGGCAUCGAGAGUAGCAAUACUUGUCGGCGACCGGCGCAAGGGUGCGUAACACGUGAGCAACAUACCCGUUUCAGGAGGAUAACCGGAGGAAACUCUGCCUAAUACUCCAUGACAUCAUCAAACGGCAUCGUUUGAUGAUUAAAGAUUUAUCGGAAACGGCUUGGCUCGCGGGACAUUAGCUCGUUGGUGAGGUAACGGCUCACCAAGGCGACGAUGUCUAGGGGUUCUGAGAGGAAGGUCCCCCACACUGGAACUGAGACACGGUCCAGACUCCUACGGGAGGCAGCAGUGAGGAAUAUUGGACAAUGGUCGGAAGACUGAUCCAGCCAUGCCGCGUGAAGGUUACUGUCCUAUGGAUAUUAAACUUCUUUUGUAUGAGAGCAAUAAGGUGCACGUGUGCACCGAUGAGAGUAUCAUACGAAUAAGCAUCGGCUAACUCCGUG